AGUGGGUACGGGCAGACUAGAGUGAUGUAGGGGAGACUGGAAUUCCUGGUGUAGCGGUGAAAUGCGCAGAUAUCAGGAGGAACACCGAUGGCGAAGGCAGGUCUCUGGGCAUUAACUGACGCUGAGGAGCGAAAGCAUGGGGAGCGAACAGGAUUAGAUACCCUGGUAGUCCAUGCCGUAAACGUUGGGCACUAGGUGUGGGGGACAUUCCACGUUUUCCGCGCCGUAGCUAACGCAUUAAGUGCCCCGCCUGGGGAGUACGGCCGCAAGGCUAAAACUCAAAGGAAUUGACGGGGGCCCGCACAAGCGGCGGAGCAUGCGGAUUAAUUCGAUGCAACGCGAAGAACCUUACCAAGGCUUGACAUGAACCGGUAAUACCUGGAAACAGGUGCCCCGCUUGCGGUCGGUUUACAGGUGGUGCAUGGUUGUCGUCAGCUCGUGUCGUGAGAUGUUGGGUUAAGUCCCGCAACGAGCGCAACCCUCGUUCUAUGUUGCCAGCGCGUUAUGGCGGGGACUCAUAGGAGACUGCCGGGGUCAACUCGGAGGAAGGUGGGGACGACGUCAAAUCAUCAUGCCCCUUAUGUCUUGGGCUUCACGCAUGCUACAAUGGCCGGUACAAAGGGUUGCGAUACUGUGAGGUGGAGCUAAUCCCAAAAAGCCGGUCUCAGUUCGGAUUGGGGUCUGCAACUCGACCCCAUGAAGUCGGAGUCGCUAGUAAUCGCAGAUCAGCAACGCUGCGGUGAAUACGUUCCCGGGCCUUGUACACACCGCCCGUCAAGUCACGNAAGUUGGUAACA
rnacentral:rRNA from 1 species